GAUGAACGCUGGCGGCGUGCCUAAUACAUGCAAGUCGAGCGAACAGACGAGGAGCUUGCUCCUCUGACGUUAGCGGCGGACGGGUGAGUAACACGUGGAUAACCUACCUAUAAGACUGGGAUAACUUCGGGAAACCGGAGCUAAUACCGGAUAAUAUAUUGAACCACAUGGUUCAAUAGUGAAAGACGGUUUUGCUGUCACUUAUAGAUGGAUCCGCGCCGCAUUAGCUAGUUGGUAAGGUAACGGCUUACCAAGGCAACGAUGCGUAGCCGACCUGAGAGGGUGAUCGGCCACACUGGAACUGAGACACGGUCCAGACUCCUACGGGAGGCAGCAGUAGGGAAUCUUCCGCAAUGGGCGAAAGCCUGACGGAGCAACGCCGCGUGAGUGAUGAAGGUCUUCGGAUCGUAAAACUCUGUUAUUAGGGAAGAACAAAUGUGUAAGUACCUAUGCACGUCUUGACGGUACCUAAUCAGAAAGCCACGGCUAACUACGUG
rnacentral:rRNA from 1 species